GAUGAACGCUGGCGGCGUGCCUAAUACAUGCAAGUCGAGCGAACGGACGAGAAGCUUGCUUUUCUGAUGUUAGCGGCGGACGGGUGAGUAACACGUGGAUAACCUACCUAUAAGACUGGGAUAACUUCGGGAAACCGGAGCUAAUACCGGAUAAUAUUUUGAACCGCAUGGUUCAAAAGUGAAAGACGGUCUUGCUGUCACUUAUAGAUGGAUCCGCGCUGCAUUAGCUAGUUGGUAAGGUAACGGCUUACCAAGGCAACGAUGCAUAGCCGACCUGAGAGGGUGAUCGGCCGCACUGGAACUGAGACACGGUCCAGACUCCUACGGGAGGCAGCAGUAGGGAAUCUUCCGCAAUGGGCGAAAGCCUGACGGAGCAACGCCGCGUGAGUGAUGAAGGUCUUCGGAUCGUAAAACUCUGUUAUUAGGGAAGAACAUAUGUGUAAGUAACUGUGCACAUCUUGACGGUACCUAAUCAGAAAGCCACGGCUAACUACGUGCCAGCAGCCGCGGUAAUACGUAGGUGGCAAGCGUUAUCCGGAAUUAUUGGGCGUAAAGCGCGCGUAGGCGGUUUUUUAAGUCUGAUGUGAAAGCCCACGGCUCAACCGUGGAGGGUCAUUGGAAACUGGAAAACUUGAGUGCAGAAGAGGAAAGUGGAAUUCCAUGUGUAGCGGUGAAAUGCGCAGAGAUGUGGAGGAACACCAGUGGCGAAGGCGACUUUCUGGUCUGUAACUGACGCUGAUGUGCGAAAGCGUGGGGAUCAAACAGGAUUAGAUACCCUGGUAGUCCACGCCGUAAACGAUGAGUGCUAAGUGUUAGGGGGUUUCCGCCCCUUAGUGCUGCAGCUAACGCAUUAAGCACUCCGCCUGGGGAGUACGACCGCAAGGUUGAAACUCAAAGGAAUUGACGGGGGCCCGCACAAGCGGUGGAGCAUGUGGUUUAAUUCGAAGCAACGCGAAGAACCUUACCAAGUCUUGACAUCCUUUGACAACUCUAGAGAUAGAGCCUUCCCCUUCGGGGGACAAAGUGACAGGUGGUGCAUGGUUGUCGUCAGCUCGUGUCGUGAGAUGUUGGGUUAAGUCCCGCAACGAGCGCAACCCUUAAGCUUAGUUGCCAUCAUUAAGUUGGGCACUCUAAGUUGACUGCCGGUGACAAACCGGAGGAAGGUGGGGAUGACGUCAAAUCAUCAUGCCCCUUAUGAUUUGGGCUACACACGUGCUACAAUGGACAAUACAAAGGGCAGCGAAACCGCGAGGUCAAGCAAAUCCCAUAAAGUUGUUCUCAGUUCGGAUUGUAGUCUGCAACUCGACUACAUGAAGCUGGAAUCGCUAGUAAUCGUAGAUCAGCAUGCUACGGUGAAUACGUUCCCGGGUCU
rnacentral:rRNA from 1 species